rnacentral:rRNA from 1 species
GACGAACGCUGGCGGCGUGCCUAAUACAUGCAAGUCGAACGCAGGGGGGACGGGUGAGUAACAAGUGGGUAACCUCCCAUCAGAGGGGAUAACACUUGGAAACAGGUGCUAAACCGAUACUGAUGGAUGGACACGCGGUUCAUUAGCUAGUUGGUGAGGUAACGGCUCACCAAGGCCACGCUGCAUAGCCGACCGGAAUGGGGGAUGGUCAACACGGGAGAUGGGACACGGCCCAGAAUCCAACGGGAGUCAGCGGUAGAGAAUCUUCGGCAAGGGACGAAAGUCGGACCGGGCAACGGCGCGUGAGUGAAGGGGGUUUUCGGAGCGUAAAACUCGGUUGUUAGAGAAGCGGUAUCUAGCCAGAAAGCGACGGCUAACUACGUGCCAGCCGCCGCGGUAAUUC